rnacentral:rRNA from 1 species
UAGGGAAUCUUCCACAAUGGACGCAAGCCUGAUGGGGCAACACCGCGUGAGUGAAGAAGGGUUUCGGCUCGUAAAGCUCUGUUGUUAAGGAAGAACACGUAUGAGAGUAACUGUUCAUACGUUGACGGUAUUUAACCAGAAAGUCACGGCUAACUACGUGCCAG